GACGAACGCUGGCGGCGUGCUUAACACAUGCAAGUCGAACGAAAAGAGGGAAAGAGCUUGCUCUUUCCGGAAUUGAGUGGCGAACGGGUGAGUAACACGUAAACAACCUGCCUUCAGGAUGGGGACAGCAGACGGAAACGAAUACUAGUAACGAAUAAGUUCCAAGAGCCGCGUGGCCCAUGGAAGAAAAGGUGGCGUCUACCUGUACGCUAUCGCCGGAUGAGGGGUGGGCGGCGGAUUAGCAGGGUUGUGGGGCAACGGCCCACCAAGGCGACGAGCAGGCGCAGGACUGAGAGGAUGAGUGGCCAGACUGGGAGGGAGACACGGCCCAGAGGCCUACGGGAGGCAGCAGUGCGGAAUCGGGCGGCAUGGGCGAAAGCUUUAGCGAGCAAGGCCGCGGGCGGGAUGACCGACGUCGGGUGGUAAAUCUCGGUGAUCCGGGAGGAAACGGCAGAGUGCGGAGAACAAGCGGCAGUGACGGUACCGGAAAAGGAAGCCACGGCUAACUACGUG
rnacentral:rRNA from 1 species